rnacentral:rRNA from 1 species
UGGGGAAUAUUGGACAAUGGGGGCAACCCUGAUCCAGCAAUGCCGCGUGAGUGAUGAAGGCCUUAGGGUUGUAAAGCUCUUUUGCCGGGGACGAUGAUGACGGUACCCGGAGAAUAAGCCCCGGCUAACUUCGUGCCAGCAGCCGCGGUAAUACGAAGGGGGCGAGCGUUGUUCGGAAUUACUGGGCGUAAAGGGCGCGUAAGCGGCGACCCAAGUCAGAUGUGAAAGUCCUGGGCUUAACCUGGGGACUGCAUUUGAUACUGGGUUGCUUGAAUGCAGGAGGGGAUAGCGGAAUUCCCAGUGUAGAGGUGAAAUUCGUAGAUAUUGGGAAGAACACCGGUGGCGAAGGCGGCUAUCUGGACUGUGAUUGACGCUGAGGCGCGAAAGCGUGGGGAGCAAACAGGAUUAGAUACC